rnacentral:rRNA from 1 species
AACGAACGCUGGCGGCAUGCCUAACACAUGCAAGUCGAACGAGAACUUCGGGUCUAGUGGCGCACGGGUGCGUAACGCGUGGGAACCUGCCCUUAGGUUCGGAAUAACUCACCGAAAGAGGUGCUAAUACAGGAGAAUGUCUUCGGACGAAAGAUUUAUCGCCUUUGGAUGGGCCCGCGUUGGAUUAGCUCGUUGGUAGUGUAAAAGCCUACCAAGGCGCCGAUCCAUAGCUGGUCUGAGAGGAUGAUCAGCCACACUGGGACUGAGACACGGCCCAGACUCCUACGGGAGGCAGCAGUGGGGAAUAUUGGACAAUGGGCGAAAGCCUGAUCCAGCAAUGCCGCGUGAGUGAUGAAGGCCUUAGGGUUGUAAAGCUCUUUUACCCGGGAUGAUAAUGACAGUACCGGGAGAAUAAGCUCCGGCUAACUCCGUG